GGGAAAGUCAUAGGGGCUAUGAGGUUGGCUUGAAACCAUCUUUGGGGGGUUCAACUCCUUCCUUUCUCG
rnacentral:tRNA from 1 species